GUCCAGACUCCUACGGGAGGCAGCAGUGGGGAAUAUUGCACAAUGGGGGAAACCCUGAUGCAGCGACGCCGCGUGAGUGAAGAAGUAUUUCGGUAUGUAAAGCUCUAUCAGCAGGGAAGAAAAUGACGGUACCUGAUUAAGAAGCCCCGGCUAACUACGUGCCAGCAGCCGCGGUAAUACGUAGGGGGCAAGCGUUAUCCGGAUUUACUGGGUGUAAAGGGAGCGUAGACGGCAGCGCAAGUCUGAAGUGAAAAGCCGGGGCUUAACCCCGGAACUGCUUUGGAAACUGUGCAGCUAGAGUGCAGGAGAGGUAAGUGGAAUUCCUAGUGGAGCGGUGAAAUGCGUAGAUAUUAGGAGGAACACCAGUGGCGAAGGCGGCUUACUGGACUGUAACUGACGUUGAGGCUCGAAAGCGUGGGGAGCAAACAGGAUUAGAUACCCGGGUAC
rnacentral:rRNA from 1 species